GCCAGUGUGGUAUAGUGGUUUGAGUGUUGGUCUACAACUCUGGAGGUCAGGGUUCAAUUACCUGCUCAGCCA